rnacentral:rRNA from 1 species
UACGGGGGGGGCAAGCGUUGUUCGGAAUUACUGGGCGUAAAGCGUGCGCAGGCGGUUGUGCAAGUCCGAUGUGAAAUCCCCGGGCUUAACCUGGGAAUGGCAUUGGUGACUGCACGGCUAGAGUGUGUCAGAGGGGGGUAGAAUUCCACGUGUAGCAGUGAAAUGCGUAGAGAUGUGGAGGAAUACCGAUGGCGAAGGCAGCCCCCUGGGAUAACACUGACGCUCAUGCACGAAAGCGUGGGGAGCAAACAGG